AAAAUAUUAAUUAAAUAAUAAUAAUAUAGAUUUGUCAAGUCUAACUUACUUUGAAAGUAUAUUUUA
rnacentral:tRNA from 1 species